AUUGAGACGACAUACUUCCUUAUAUCCCCAUAUUCAGAAUUAAUCUAUGGAAUGUAAGGAAGUGUGUGGCUUCAGU
rnacentral:pre_miRNA from 8 species